GAUGAACGCUAGCGACAGGCCUAACACAUGCAAGUCGAGGGGUAGCAUGGUGUAGCAAUACACUGAUGACGACCGGCGCACGGGUGAGUAACGCGUAUGCAACCUACCUACUACAGGGGGAUAGCCCGAAGAAAUUCGGAUUAACACCGCAUAAUACUGUUUUUUCGCAUGGAAUGAUAGUUAAAAAUUUAUUGGUAGUAGAUGGGCAUGCGUUCCAUUAGCCAGUUGGUGAGGUAACGGCUCACCAAAGCAACGAUGGAUAGGGGAACUGAGAGGUUUAUCCCCCACACUGGUACUGAGACACGGACCAGACUCCUACGGGAGGCAGCAGUGAGGAAUAUUGGUCAAUGGGCGAGAGCCUGAACCAGCCAAGUCGCGUGAAGGAUGACUGCCCUAUGGGUCGUAAACUUCUUUUGUGCUAGAGUAAAAAAGAGUAUGUAUACUCUCUUGCAAGUAUAGUACGAAUAAGCAUCGGCUAACUCCGUGCCAGCAGCCGCGGUAACAC
rnacentral:rRNA from 1 species